UUGCUUUGGCAGCACAUAUACUCAGACUGAAACGAUACAGAGAAGAUGAGCAUGGCCCCUGCGCAAGGAUCACAUGCAAAUUCGUGAAGCGUUGCAUAUGUUU